GUACUAUUUGGGGCAAAUGCUGAUGAAGUAUUACGGAAAAUGGAGGAAAAGGCUAAAUCAAUGCAAACUGUGAAAGAAUUUCUGCAGGUUCAACCCCCACGUUUUAGUAGAAAUUGGCCUUCCAAAAACUGGUCCUUUCCUGCCACA